CAGGCAGGGCAACCCUCUCUCUGGGCCCCAUUUUCCACAACCAUUAAAGAAAGAGAUGGCUUUCUCUGAUCACUAAGAUCUUCCUUUGAAAAUGUUUUUGACCCCAGGGCUGUGUUUAGAACUCAUGAAGCAAGAAAUCAGCCACUUUUAAAGAACUGCUACUCUGACCUAGAAAUGUUCCACGGUUUGUCCUCUGUUCUCCCUUUGGAGCAGACAUUUAAAUAAAAAUGAAAGGAACCGCCACUGUUUUUCUAAGCACAGUGUGUAAUGAAGGGAGUGAUUAUCUGGGCAAAAAGAACAGCUCAUUCCUCAAUUUUUAAAAUUAGCACUUCUUCUCCCUCUAGUGGAAAUGUGAUGCAUUUGCUGUAAAUCAAAUGGAUAUCCUUGUGAUGGACAGGGAAGCCUGGCAUGCUGCAGUCCAUGGGGUCGCAGAGAGUCUGGACAUGACUGAGCGACUGAACUGAACUGAAAAGUUAAGUGUUCAUCAAACAAAAUAGAGAAGAGUUAGCAUGAAUGAGUCGUAAUAUGGGAUCAAACUAAACUCAAUUUGUUACAAUGUUUUCCUACAUGAAUAUCUUAAAUAUUCUACUUGUUUAAAAACUUCAAGGUUAAAAAUGAAAACCUGCAAAAUAGAUUUAGACACAUAAUCUGCAAAUGAAAUAAGCAGGUCCAAAUGAGAUGUUUUGUACUUAAUUUAUACUUUGUAUUUAAUUUUCUGGUAGUCAUGUAUGGAUGGGAGAGUUGGACCAUAAAGAAGACUGAGCACCAAAGAAUUGAUGCUUUUGAACUGUAGUGCUGGAGAAGACUCUUGAGAGUCCUUUGGACAGCAAGGAGAUCAAACCAGUCAAUCAACCCUGAAUAUUCAUUGGAAGGACUGAUGCUGAAUACUUUGGCCACCUGAGACAAAGAGCUGACUCAUGGAAAAGACCUUGAUGCUGGGAAAGAUUGAAGGCAAGAGGAGAAGGGGGUGACAGAGAAUGAGAUGGCUGGAUGGCAUCACCGACUCAAUGGACAUGAGUUUGGAUGGCAUCACUGACUCAAUGGACAUGAGUUUGCGCAAACUCAGGGAGAUGGUGACGGACAGGGAAGCCUGGCAUGCUGCAGUCAGUCCAUGGGAUCACAAAGAGUCCGACAUAGCUGGGCGACUGAACAACGACGAUUUAAUUUAUACCCUCAAAAAUGCUACAAUCAGUUCACUUAUGAAAAGUACUGAGUCAAAGCAGUCACUGAAUGGGACAAGACCGAAGGAAGGAGAGUUAUAAGACAGAGUGUUUGGGCAAGAAUUGUCCAUUUCAACUCAGUUUAAUGCAUAGGUACUUAUUCCAUGUAUCUUCUAUCUUUCUGAAAACUUUCUUGACUCCCCAGGCAAAGUAAACUGUCCCCUGACUUGUAAGCACCUCCUGUGGCCAUAGGACAUAUGUCAACAGUGGUUUGUGGGCACGUUCAAAUUUCCACCUGGAGAAUGCACUCCUUAUGUGCCUCCUUCUCAUGGCUGAAGAGUGGCAUCGCUGGAGAGACUACGACUUCAAAAAGUGAAAGUGAAAGUCGCUCAGUCGUGUCUGACUCUUUGCGACCCCAUGGACUAUAUAGUCCAUGGAAUUCUCCAUGCCAGAAUACUGGAGUGGGUAGCCUUUCCCUUCUCC
ensembl:lncRNA